GUCUGCAGUAUGCUGUUGCCAGAAGAGGAUGUCUGUGUUGAGCAGGGUGCUCAGCUCUCCACGAGAUGCUAUCUACUGAGGUUAAAGACUUUUUGAAGUAAAGAGGAGCAUCUCAUCUGAAACUGAUGUCUAUCAUGGAUAUUUAACUGAAGUUCUGUGAGUAUCCCAACUUAACCAUGAAGAUGAACUGCAAACUGUAAGUCAUUAAUUUCUCAUUACUCUUGGGCACAUUGAUGUAUUUUUGCUUCCUGAUGAGUUAACCCGUUACCUAAAGGUUGAUCUGAGUAGUAAGGAUGUUUUAUUGGUUCAUUGGUUUCUUAGGUGUUUGGUUUAUGUUGGUUUUAAUGAUUUGUUAAAAUGGUUACGAGAUCCAAGUUAUUGUUGUAAGCUGGAGUAAUGGGUUGGGUUCUGAUGUCUUAAGUCUUCUUUCCAGCUACUCUCCUGAGCUCUGCAUCUUCAACACACGAGUGUUGCUUUACUGAUGAGGGUGUGGUCUGAGUGAGCGGAGGUGCAUACUGGGAUACAGAGCUGUCUGAAUUCUACAGGUCUGUAGGCACGCCCCCUCAGGGGAAACCAAGUGUUUCAGAAACCGUCGUGACGUCAGUUACAUGGACUAGAAUGUUCUCUAAGAUGGAGACGGGAUUCAGAAGGAGAAACGCCAGGGGGAGAUGAGGGGGCUCCUCAUCUCGACAGCUGAAACACAACUUCAGUCUGACAGAGAGAACCAUGGAACACAUUCAACAGUCCUCCAGGCAUCGUGACUCCUCAGGAAAAGUUUCAUUUCCAAGAAGGUCUUAUUUGGGGCCAUCCCCAUAUGGAUCCUGCUCCUCAAGAGCCAACCACCCUCCACUGAGUGGUCUUCUGAAGAGAUGACUUCCUUCCUGUCCUCAGGCUGAUUAAAGCUGCACCGUUUGCAUCUGUGAAUGCCCCUUAUUCAGGAAACCACUGGACUACAAAGACAUGACUUCAGAAACAUUGAAUCAACCUGGGACACAUUUUGGAGACGCCAAGCAUAAUCCAUCACCAAUGUGGGACGCCACUGAAAAAUGUUGCACAUAAUUUACUUCUCUGGAGAUAUUGGUUGUUCUGUUCUGGGUGCCCUGGCAGGAGAGCUGGGGUUGGAUGAUGGAACGUUAUUUGGCAUGAGGUUUUUACCCUGCAUGAUUGUUGGCCUUUUAUGGCUCAGUGGUGUGUGUGUGUGUGUGUGUGUGUGUUUGGGUUUGACAUGAGAUGGAUGAUUUUUCAUCGCUAGGGUUCUACUGUGUGUGUGUGUGUCUCCCACUCACACCUGGCAUGGGGUUCUACGUGCCUGUCCUGGGUUCUAUGCGUGUGUCUGUGUCCGGCUUGCUUUGACAGUGAUAAUGUUCGUACGGGGGGUCUGUGUGAUUGGCUUGGGAUAUUGGAGUGGUCAAAUAAAUCAUACCUGAUGGACGGCCACACGUUUACUUAAGGACCUCCAGCAGAAAUGAGCCCAGAGCGACGCUGCGGAGCGAUAUCCAACACACUGGGCAGGAAGGAGGGUAUCCAACUCAAGUGUAAAAGGAUGCAAGCGGCGUGUUCAGAUCAGUGACUUCAAACUAGGACUACACCAAUCAGGAUCAAUGGAGGAUGGACACCUAAAUUCCACAAGGAGUCUGACGUUGGAAAGGGACCUAAAUGGAUAUUCAAGAUGACCUUCAGACCUGUAAUGAGACAGCUCUUCCUACCUGGCUGGAUUGAUGGAGAGCCCUGUGGAUCUUGUCUUGAUCUCAGUUGCACGUCUUCUCAGGCUGAACUCUAAUUGUCUCGGACAGGACUAGCUGAACGAUUGGUUCCCUUAAAUCAGAACCAAUCCGGGAACUCCAGCAAGUGCACUCUUCGAGCUGAAGUUGUGCUCUUCAGCUGAGGAGCUAAGGAAACCUUCACUGGGGCUUCAAGAUGUAAAGAGGAGAAUGUUUCAAAGUGUUCCAUGGUACUCUGAUGAAGACCGUUGGUGUGUUCCACUGGCUGAGAGGAAGAACCCACACAUCUUCCUCUUGGCCUUUCUCCUCUCAGAAUCCUGGCGCCAUCUUGAAGGAUAUUCCAGCUCAUGUAACUGAUGUCACGACAUAUUCACAAACACUUGGUUUCUCCUGAGGGGCGUUUCUAUAGAACUGAAGACUUCAGACAGCACUGUAUCCCAGCAUGCAUCUCUGCUCACUCAGACCACACCCCCAUGAGUAGGAUGCAACACUCUAGUGAUGGAGAUGUAGUGUUUUAUAAGUAACGAGGGAGCAGACUAAGGGGAUUAGAACACAAUGGCAUGUUAAGUCUGUAAAUCUUUAAACCAUGAAGAUGGUUGGAAAAGUCAGGAAUUAGGCUUAUUUUUGAUAUGGGCAGUCCUUUCACUCGGAUGCUCACUUCUUACUGGAAAUGUACAUGCGUUGGCUGGCUGGCAUGAUUUGCUGUUGGUGAUGAGGUGGUCAGGGUGACGUUGCAGGGCUAUGGUCGGCUCUCUGUGAGCUCAACGUUUAGAUUUUCUCUGUAUGGUUUGUACCCUGAAUAAUCUAGAUAAUUGUAAAAUGUAGACACGGUUUUGCAUUGAAUGAUUCCAGGAUUUUAGUUUUAAAGUUGUUGUACAUGGUAGUUUGGUUCUUCGUAUGGUUUUGAGUGAUUAUAACUUGUACACACUGGGUGCAUAAUAAUGUAAUGUUACAUUGAAUAGUAUUAAUGACCAACAGCAACAAACAGAUCUCCUCAAGGUAAGUCUGUUGGCUGUAUUUUAAUGAAGAUCAUCGCUGGACUUCAGGAUCUUCCUCCGUUCAGCUCAAGGUGAGGCGCUGGUUAUUUUUCUUUGGUUGGUUCCGGCCGGAAUGUUCGGAUUCCAGUCGGACGGUUUGUGCUUCCCGCCGUGGAAGGUUCUGAGUGCGGUCACUUGAUUUUAGUCCCAAUGGUUAGCAUAGAAAGUUGUAGUCUUGACAACCAUAAGAAACCACCUGGCAGUUAGUUGGACACGAACGUCGUACAAUAUGUUAAUUUUCGAUGUUUGCGCCGUACUUUUAACCACGUUGACGGGACUCUCGCUGCGUACAAUACGGCGUUCUACUUGCGGCCCAAUUUUUGACCUCGGUGAAGGCUGAAAAUUAUUUCAAGGUGGAAGACAAUUUGACAUUUCUUCAAAGGAACCCAGCACCUGAAUAUGAGUUGAGUAAAUUUGAUUUAAUAUUGAUACUGCUUAGUGUUCAUUGUUACUUCACCUUUUGUACGUUCUAAAUAUAUGCUGUCAUUAAUUGCCACAGAAGUUAAACCCUACCCAAUAGAAUGACGUAAAUCAACGACUUUGAUGCAGAGUUACCAACUGGAUAAUAUCAAAGCUAAAAUAAUGGCCGUCAUUUCCACAUGUUGCAGUAGAAGAUACUCUAGAACUGUAGAAGGUUAAAAAAGGUAAAAUGUAGUUUGUCCCAUGGUGUCUGCCUCCUCACCCAGAGCAAGACCUCCACCUCCUUACCCAGAGCCAGACCUCCACCUCCUGUCAGAAGUCCUCCAGAACAGCUCAAAGGUGAGGCUGAGAGGCUUGGGACCGGAGGCUUGUGGUGCCAGGAUGGACCGGAGACUGAGGCUGGAGACCAGGGGCCUGCAGCACCGGACCAGAGGACCAGGAAUCCAUGGCUGAAGGAGCUGAUGGAGGAGCCGCGCUGAAGGCCCUGCCUGGUGGAGGAGCUGAUGGAGCUCCUGCCUUGUGGAGGAGCCGUGCUGAAGGCCCUGCCUGGUGGAGUAGCUGACGGAGGCCCUGCCUGGUGGAGGAUGUCUGUCGUGGGGACACUGGUUUGGAGGAGAGCUGAUGGAGGAGCUGAUGGAGGAGCUGAUGGAGGACAGAUGGAGGACAACUGGGAAUCGACCAACAAGGAUUCCUAAACGUGCUUCUGGAGCGGAGGCCAGCUGAUAGGGGAGCCGUGAAUCUGGAGGAUGACGUCACUCUACCAAUAAGGAUUACCAGGACUCUGGCUGAGGAGAGCUGAUGGAGGAGCCAUAAAACCAAGAAUCUGGAGGACUGACGGAGAAGCCGUACAUCUGGAAGGCAAAUCCUGAGGACGAUCAGGACUCUACCAUCAAGGAUUCCUCACACACCUGAGCUGAACCUCACCUGAUCCUGUUUGGUCGGGGGCAGACGCACCUGAGCUGAACCCCACCUGAUCCGGACAUCCUGCUGGUCCCGUCUCCUCAGUUCAUCUGAGCCUCUUCCUCCAGAAGACAUGCUGAGCUCAGCGGUCUGAGGCUGAUGUAUCAAUGACCUCCAGUGGGAGUGAUCUUCUUGACCCCACAUGUAGCCGUGUGCUUCCACACGCCUUUCCCUCAUGUCUGUCACUAACCUCAUUACUUCACUACUCUCUACUCCUUCCCCUUCUUCCUUCUCCGUGGUUCGAACCUUUAAUCUGAAGGAGUGUCUCCUUGAACCUUUACACUGAAGGAGCGUCUUCCUGCCCUCAGAGGGUUCAGCGUUAGGGUUGAGAGUCAGGGUUUAGAGUCAGGGACAGAGCUGGUCAGGGAGGGCUGGUUUUACAUAAACCUUUUCACUUGCUUUCUGAAUGGUGGUGACAUUUUGAAAAGAUUAAUUUGGGAAAAUGUUUUCCUCUGCUUUCCUUUACAAAAAUAUGUAUUCAACUUCUGUGUUUGUAACCAGACCAGGUAUCCAUGGCUGAAGGAGCUGAUGGUGAAAGAGCUGGUGGAGGAGCCGUGCUGACGGCCCUGCCUGGUGGAGGAGCCGUGCUGACGGCCCUGCCUGGUGGAGGAGCCGUGCUGACGGCCCUGCCUGGUGGAGGAGCCGUGCUGACGGCCCUGCCUGGUGGAGGAGCCGUGCUGACGGCCCUGCCUGGUGGAGGAGCCGUGCUGACGGCUCUGCCUGGUGGAGGAUGUCUGUCGUGGGACCAGGACUCUGUCUGAGGAGAGCAGAUGGAGGAGCUGAGACGCUGGAGGACAACUAGGAAUCGACCAACAAGGAUUCCUCAACGUGUUUCUGUAGCGGAGGCCAGCUGGUAGGGGAGCCGUGAAUCUGGAGGAUGACCAUCACUCUACCAACAAGGAUUACUUUAGGGCCAGACUCGCGCUGUUUGUUCCAGACCAGGACUCUGGCUGAGGAGAGCUGAUGGAGCCAAGACUCUGGAGGACGACAUCACUCCACCAACCAGGAUCCUCACCAGGAAUCUGGAAGACUGUUGGAGGAGCCGUACAUCUGGAAGGCAAAUCCUGAGGCCCAGCAGGACUCUACCAUCAAGGAUUCCUCAUAAGUUUGCAUUAUCUGGACAUAGUGGACUAGACACACCUGAGCUGAACCUCACCUGAUCCUGUUUGGUCGGGGGUUGACACACCUGAGCUAAACCCACCCUGAUCCUGACAUCCUGCUUGUCCCGUCUCCUCAGUUCUCCUGAGCCUCGUCCUCCAGAAGACCUGCUGAGCUCAGCAGUCUGAGGCUGAUGGAUCAAUGACCUCCAGUGGGAGGGAUCUUCUUGACCCCACUUGUAACCGUGUGCUUCCACACGCCUUUCCCUCACAUCUGUCACUAACCUCACUACUUCACUACUCUCUACUGCUUCCUCUUUUCUUCCUUCUCUGUGGUUUAAACCUUUAUACUGAAGGCGCGUCUUCCUGCCCUCAGAGGGUUUAGCAUUAGGGUUGAGAGUCAGGGUUUAGAGUCAGGGACAGAGCUGGUCAGGGAGGACUGCUUUCACACAAACCUCUUGACUUGCUUUCGGAAUGGUGGUGACAUUUUGAAAAGAUUCAUUUGGUAAAAUCUUUUCCUCUGCUUCCCUUUACAAAAUUGUAUCAAACUUCUGUCAAGUGUUUUUGUUUAAAUAUUAAAAUCCCACAUUGACUUCUACAUGUUUGGUGCGGUUCAUUUAAUUGUCCUUUAACUUGGUUAAUGUCAAGCUAAACUCCUGCAAUACAUUAAUAGCCAUGAUUGUUAUUUGGCAAUGUUCACAUAAUCCAUUUUGUAAAAAUAUGAAACCCCAAUAUUGCUA
ensembl:lncRNA